CCUACGGGAGGCAGCAGUGGGGAAUAUUGGACAAUGGGCGAAAGCCUGAUCCAGCAAUGCCGCGUGAGUGAUGAAGGCCUUCGGGUCGUAAAGCUCUUUUACCAGGGAUGAUAAUGACAGUACCUGGAGAAUAAGCUCCGGCUAACUCCGUGCCAGCAGCCGCGGUAAUACGGAGGGAGCUAGCGUUGUUCGGAAUUACUGGGCGUAAAGAGUACGUAGGCGGUUAUUCAAGUCAGAGGUGAAAGCCCGGGGCUCAACCCCGGAACUGCCUUUGAAACUAGAUAACUAGAGUCUUGGAGAGGUUAGUGGAAUUCCGAGUGUAGAGGUGAAAUUCGUAGAUAUUCGGAAGAACACCAGUGGCGAAGGCGACUAACUGGACAAGUACUGACGCUGAGGUACGAAAGCGUGGGGAGCAAACAGGAUUAGAUACCCUGGUAGUCCACGCCGUAAACGAUGAUAACUAGUUGUUCGGUCACUUGGUGACUGAGUGACGCAGCUAACGCAUUAAGUUAUCCGCCUGGGGAGUACGGUCGCAAGAUUAAAACUCAAAGAGUAAUCGACGGNGUGAGAGUUCGACGACGACGACGACGGAGGAGGAG
rnacentral:rRNA from 1 species